CAGCUCUGGAAGAAGAGCACAGCACCCUCCUGCUCCACGUGCACGUACCCUUUGUAUGCAGUAUCUCACGUUAAUAGCACUGCCUUUGGAGAUGCCUGCUUUCUUCGUAAAGCUCUCCUGGAAGAGAUGCAGAAACAGUUACAGGCUCCUGCCUUGACUGUGUGCAGACAGGCUGCUUCCUGUCCCAACCGGCAGCUCUUCCAAGCUGGUUCUGUUGCAAAGCAGUCACCAGGAUUGCCCCCUUCUUUGCUCUGCUCGCUUCUAAAGGAAUUUAUUUGUUCAUCGGUUUUGACUCAGUGGCAGAAAUUGAGCUGUAUCUCCUCUGCCCUGAAAUCAUCAAAGUAUAUGGCAGCUAAAGUUGACGGGAGCACGUUUAACAAAGCAUUGUUGAGGGGAAGAGUGCCAGGAACAUAUUGUAUGUUUCCAAACAGAGCUAAUGCUGCUCCUAACGCAGUAAAAGAAAAGAGGAUUGCUCCUCGAGUUUGGUGAUUGUGCAGACUAUUUAUGUUUGUUUGUACUGUGACAGAACUUUGAAUGCAUCAGACUUGAGAUGGCCCAGCUGGAAAAUUUGGCUCAGUGGGUGGAUCAGAGCAGGGAACUGUAGAAGCAUGGAAAAAACCCAACAAAAACGGAGUACCGAAAGAAAGAGAAAAGGAGAGUUUGAAGAAGCAGAGCUUCAGAUGUUAUUGUAGGAACUGCAUUAAAGAAAAUCUCUGCUUGAAGAAAGGAAGUACCUUGCAGAUCUCUAAGCUUUGGGGAGCUGUCUGUACAGUUCUCAUAAGCUGUUUGAAGUUUUGAACGUAGCACAACCUUUGUCUUUUUUGCUUCUUUUCAUAAACCUGUGUUCAU
ensembl:lncRNA